AGCUGACCCCUAAAGGUGGACCUGUCUCCUCGGGGAGCGUGUUGCAGGCAGACGUAAAGAAAUCUUGCAACAGGUCAAAGCAGCAGCCUGCCAGGAAAGCAACUGUGACUUGGGAAUAGAGAAACUAUCUCUGCCCGCAGAUGCUGCUGCGUGUUCCUGCUGAAGUUUUCCACGCUGCUGAUCUCCCUCCACCUGCUCUGGGUUAUCUCCUGCAUGCUUUUGUCCAGGUAGCCGGAAGUGCAGACUGCUGGGCUGCUGCUCGCAGGAGGAAUCCCUCCGACUUCAGCAAAGCUGCCCUGCUAGGGAUGGAUGGUUCUCCAAGGGGAAGGAAGGGAGGAAGAGGCUGUGGGAUGCUUGCUUAAUUCUGCGCUGAGGUGGAGCAGAGAAAGCUCGAGGGAUGCUGAUAGCGCUGCACUCGCCAGCCAGAUUUUCAAAAGAGCCCAGUUUGCUGACAUAAAUGGGGUUGCUGAUGUGCCGAAAGAGAAGGAAGUGCUGGAGAACACAUUCCUCGCUGGGUGCAUGAAGAACUCAGAAAAUUGGAAGGAAGAUACAGAGAAUAUAGAAGCUGACCCAACUGGAAAUUUUUUGGGGAAAAAGAAUGGAAGACAUGCAGCAUCUCACCUUGCAGCAGUGGCCCGCAAGCUGCCCAGCCCCUCUGAGUGAUUCAAGGUGCGAUUCCCUGGGGAUCACGCUGCUAUCCACAGCAUCAGAGAUACCCACAGGAGCAUCUGGCAGGAGCCAGCUCUUUUUUCUUCAACUCUGAAAUUAGCCUUCAGGAUUGUGUGUGGGGUGGUGACCCAGCGUGGCUCAGGACCAGCUGCCUCCGAUAGACAUGUGUCUUCAGCACUGUGUUGUCUGCGAGGGAGAAAAGCUGGUAAGGUGCCCUGCUUUGCAUGUGGCUGAAAGAAAUGCGUAGACAUGAGAGAUGCCCAUAGGCAGUUUGGCUGGUUUAAAAACAGCACGGGGAAAGAGGCUAGUCAUAGUUACACCAAUAAAAGCCAUGGAGG